rnacentral:piRNA from 1 species
UGUGCUAUGUCACUGUCUUGUGUGU